UUUAUGGUACAAUAUACCAGUUUUUCAAUUGAAAAAAAUGAAAACAUAGUUCCAUCAUGUCAUUCAUACAUUCACUGAGCAUAUGUUGAUUUUACUACCCUGCCUGGGUCAAACAGGACUAAUCAACAAUGAUAACUCUCCCAUAUAGAGGUGGAUCUGUAGGUUCUUACAACCUUGUAUGAGCAUCUAAAAUGGACUUCUUUUGCUUAAGCAAAGGAAACAUUUAUUGGAAGAAUGCUGGGGGUGUCUCAGAGAAUCAAAGGAAAUGCUGAACUACCAAGAUAGGAGGACCCAGGGCAAUUCUGGUUUCUUGAAAUUCUUCAUGGUCUCUCUUUCACCCUUGAGGACUGCCACAAACAUGACUCUUUCCCCAGCAACUCCCAAUCUCUUCAGCAACUCAUUUCAAUUUUCAUAUUUCUAUUAAAGAGAAUCUGAC
rnacentral:lncRNA from 1 species